UUUGAGAGAUUGGGGGGAA
rnacentral:misc_RNA from 2 species